CCUACGGGUGGCAGCAGUGAGGAAUAUUGGUCAAUGGUCGGGAGACUGAACCAGCCAAGCCGCGUGAGGGAUGAAGGUACAGCGUAUCGUAAACCUCUUUUGUCAGGGAACAAAGGCGGGGACGCGUCCCCGGAUGAGUGUACCUGAAGAAAAAGCAUCGGCUAACUCCGUGCCAGCAGCCGCGGUAAUACGGAGGAUGCGAGCGUUAUCCGGUUUUAUUGGGUUUAAGGGGUGCGCAGGGGGUGUGUUAAGUCAGCGGUAAAAGCUGGGGGCCAAACCCCGGCCCGCCGUUGAAACUGGCAGUCUCGAGUUGGAGAGAAGUAGGCGGAAUGCGCGGUGUAGCGGUGAAAUGCAUAGAUAUCGCGCAGAACUCCGAUUGCGAAGGCAGCAUGCCGGCUCCACACUGACGCUGAGGCACGAAAGCGUGGGUAUCGAACAGGAUUAGAUACCCUUGUAGUC
rnacentral:rRNA from 1 species